rnacentral:rRNA from 1 species
GACGAACGCUGGCGGCGUGCUUAACACAUGCAAGUCGAACGGACAGACAGAGAGCUUGCUCUCUUGAAGUUAGUGGCGAACGGGUGAGUAACGCGUAAUCAACCUGCCCUUCAGAGGGGGAUAACAACGGGAAACCGUUGCUAAUACCGCGUACGAUUCAUGAACGGCAUCGUUUAUGAAUGAAAGGUGGCCUCUAUGUAUAAGCUAUCGCUGAAGGAGGGGAUUGCGUCUGAUUAGUUAGUUGGAGGGGUAACGGCCCACCAAGGCAAUGAUCAGUCUCCGGUAUGGUAGGAGGGACGGCCACAUUGGGACAGAGACACGGCCCAAACUCCUACGGGAUGCAGCAGUGGGGAAUCUUCCGCAAUGGACGAAAGUCUGACGGAGCAACGCCGCGUGAUUGAUGAAGGUCUUCGGAUUGUAAAGCUCUGUUAAUCGGGACGAAAGAGUUCUGCGUGAAUAAUGCAGAAAAGUGACGGUACCGGAAUAGAAAGCCACGGCUAACUACGUGCCAGCCGCCGCAGUAA